rnacentral:rRNA from 1 species
GACAGAGGGUGCAAACGUUGUUCGGAUUUACUGGGCGUAAAGCGUGUGUAGGCGGCUUUGUAUGUCGGAUGUGAAAGCCCACGGCUCAACCGUGGAAGUGCAUCCGAAACUGCAUGGCUCGAGUCCCGGAGAGGAAGGUGGAAUGCUUGGUGUAGAGGUGAAAUUCGUAGAUAUCAAGCAGAACACCUGCGGCGAAGGCGGCCUUCUGGACGGUGACUGACGCUGAGACACGAAAGCGUGGGGAGCAAACAGG